UGAUCCAUUACUAGAGAUAUGUAAGACUCCCAAGCAAGGUUUGGAGCUCAAAAACCUGAUCUUGGCUACAGCAGCAGAAAAUGAAGACACCAGGAAAAUGAUCAAAUCAUGUGGAGCACUUCUGUUGAUUCCUACUAUUUUGGAAGAGAAGGCAUUGCUUUGUCAGCAUAGCCAGGAUAAAAAACGGAACAAUCGCCAAAAUCAUCUACAAAAGUAAGCCCGACAGUGCAGGUCUGACUCUGAGCAGUGAUCAUGAAAAAUUCACGGAAAUUCUGCAAUCAUCAUUCUAUAUUACAGCAGAGAAUGAAGUCAUCUGCGAGACAACCACCUACCUCAUGUCAGCAGUCUCU